UGCGGGGGCGCCCAGGUUUGGGUGUGGAGGGAGGGACUGUGCUGGAGUCCAGGUGAGGCCUGGACGGGCCGCCCUGGGAGGCCCUUGGCCGGUUCUGGGAGCCCCUGGAGGGAUGGGGGGUGGGAGCGGACAGGUAAGGGCGUGGCCAGUGCCCGUGUCCCCUGCUGCUGCCCCCCUCGCAGGAAAUCGCUGUGAUGUGAGCGUCCUCCUGAAAGAAUGGAAGCAUCGGCUCGAGAAAGUGAAGUCGGACCUGGUCCGUAGGGUCCACCGCUGGGGAGGAGGAAGGUGGCCCCAGGAGGAAGUUGGCCUCCGCCGGAUCACGGAGCCCGUGCAGCCCCGGGGCGCACAUGGUCACGGUGCUGCCGAUGGUGCUGGGAGCUGAGUGACGGGGCCCCCAGAAGCUGGCGUCCAGGUGUUCUGGAUCUCCCUGCUCAGAGGUCUAGAAGCUUCCAGAACACCCUCUACAUUGGUGAAGGAGGAGGGGCCCCAAAUGGGAAGCUACCUGCUUUUCCGUGGGCGCAGGCCCGGCAUGGUGCCCGCCGGGCACACCACAUGCGACCCGCACAGCACUGGGGGGAGCUCACACAGCACCUGGCUGGUGUGUCUCUUCUCUCACGACUCUCUCCCUCUCUUUGUCACCCUCUAGCUGGAGAAAAUAAAUGCAGUUACUGCUUCACUACUUUUCAGUAGUGAGAUGGGACCAGCCAGGUCUCAGUCCCCGGGACCCCACCCACAUCAAGAUCCUCCCCCAAGCCCUCUGACAUCCUGCUAGGAUUGAUAAAUAAAUAAUUAGUUAAAUAAAUAAACUGCAGAUGACUCUU